rnacentral:sRNA from 1 species
CUGAGCCUCUCCUGUGGGGAGAUGAGCGUCUUUCUCCUGGGACCGAAGGAGGGAACAAGACGGAGAAGGAAGAGGCGGGGCUGCGACUGUGCCCAGCGUGCUGCCGGGUCCCUGCUCUGGGUACUUCUCUGCUUUCGGGCGUCUCGUCUAGAAGCUGCAGCUUGGCCUGUCUCACCUCUACACAGAGGGGCUGCUGGCGCCUGACGGAAAAAGGUCCACACACCAGAUGGCCGGCCCGGGGUGGACGCUGCUGCUACUGCUGCUGCUGCUGCUGCUGCUGGGGUCCAUGGCAGGGUAUGGGCCGCAGAAGAAGUUGAACCUGUCCCAUAAGCCCCGGGCCCCCAGCACUGACCUGCCAGAACCACGGCAGUCUGGGUUUGUUCCAGAAACUUCUCAGGGAACCCAAGUUUGAAGGAUGGUGACACAGGGGAGCCAAGGAGAGGGCAGGCCUUUCCUGAGUGCUGAGUCUGCAGGCCCUGCCCAGGAACAGGUGAGCGAGCUGGUGAGUGGCGUUUCAGGGCAUCGGGGAGCCAUGCGGGAGACACGAGGAGUGCCAGAGCAACUGCUGUACCAUCAACAGCCUGGCCCCACACACGCUCUGCACCCCUAAGACCAUCUUCCUGCAGUGCCUGCCCUGGAGGAAGGUGAGGUGCAUGCGGGGGGCGGGGGUGGAGGGGCGAGACUGCCUGUGGCCCCCUCCUACCUGCCCCUGAAGAGCCAGGGAGUGGAUGGUGGGU